UGAUGGCUUCUCUUUUACAGACUGAAACUAUCUUUCAGUAUUUGCGUUAUUUUAGAUCUGUGUACGGAACUCUAAGACGAUAGGUAUAUAUGGCAAAGUAUAUCCAUAAAUUUAUCGUAAUUGCUAUUCAGUAUUCAGAAUACGAAAAUGAAUACGUGUAUCGUUAUCUUUCUGUUGUCCAUCGCGAUGGUGAUAUGCCGUGAAAUAGACCCAAUUAUGGACAGCAGACUAAUCCCAAUAACGCAAAAAGACCCACUAAUGGAUGCCAAGGUAGAUCUAAUGAUGGAAAGCAAGGAAAGUUCAAUGAAGAAAAACCAAGUAGACCCAGUAACGGAACGCGAGUUAGAUCGAUACGGCGUCAAAAUAGAUACUAAAGGAAAAUGUGUGCUCAAAGCAUUUGUAGACCAAAUAAAGUGCCUCCUGGCUGUAAAUAAAAUGGACAAUUCUGGAGAGUCGAAACUGAGGGGGGAUUUUGUUAAAUGUGUCACUAGUUUCAUUAUACAGUUUAUGGCGUGUUUCAUCUAGAACUUUCAGCGCAUUGAAAUAAAUGAAGAGUAUCUCGCGGUCAUAAGUACAAUAACUAAAAUAUAAUAUAUCCCUACAGGUGAUUAUAUUGUAUAUCUAAUUGCUUACUAUGUUCUUUCAAUCAA